AUUCACCCUUGGAGAUGUAUCCGAUGUUGACGAGGACUCUGACCUCGGUGGUGGGCUCACCGACGAUGUAGAGGAAGGAAAGGCAAAUGAGACCCAGGUUGAGGAUUCUCAAUCUUUGACUUUUCCCCUAUUUACUUUCCUUGGAAGAUGAUGACAGAAGAAUUGCGAAGUGUGUUGCAACUACUGAGAAAUUGUGUGAGGAUAAAAAAAGAAAUGGAAAUUGAUCCAUGAUGAGGUCCAUUCAUUCUCUGAUGAUCAUUUUAUUACUAGUUGCAUUUCAUUGCAUUAUCAUGUUAUUUCUUUACAAAAAAUUGAAACCUUU
rnacentral:lncRNA from 1 species